UGGGGACUGGUGGAGUCCACUCUCUAGGCAGUCUGUUGUUAAUAUUUUUCAUUAUAAAUUUCUACUUUCGUGCAUUCUGUCUUGGUACGUACUUUGAAUUAAAAUAAUAUUAAAUACUAUAUAUGUAUUUAGUAUUAGUUAUUACUUAUUAGUAUUUCACUUUAUUACGCCAAGCCAUAGCGGUUAUUUUUUUUUAUAUUGUUGGUAUUUAUUUUAUUAAUUUAUUCGAUUAAACUAUUGUUGAAACGAUAAUAAUUUCAGCCAUAUUAAUUAUGUAAAACGAGUUAUUAACAUUUUGAAUACAUAAAUGUUAUUUCGGUAAUUAAAACAUUAUUUUUGCCACUAUGACUGGAUCCUUGUUUAAAGUGAUACCUAAUUUAACAUUCACAAACAGUUAACGAUCGUUAGAACCAUGGCCAUACAUCCAUGUCCGUAUGAAGAUUGCACUUCUACGUUCAGUCGUCCAUAUCGUUUGCAAAUUCAUAUUCAAAGACAUCAAGGCAUUAAACAAUUCCAAUGCACCCAAUGCGAUCGCGGUUACCAUCGACGACAGCACUUGCAGAGACACUUUGCCGAGGCUCAUCAAAAUCAUUCAAGAUUAGAAGAACCAUUGUUUUGUGAUCACUGUGACCGACCAUUUAACACAGCGUGGGGCCUCCGCAGACAUCAGGACAAAAUUAAGGUACCUAAAUUACGUGUCAGAACGCAUCGCUGUGAAACUUGUGGCCGAAGGUUUUUUCAAGCCGAUCAUCUCAAAAUCCAUUCUCUUAGACACGAACGUUUCAAAUGUGACAUGCCAUCAUGUCCCCUGUCUGAACACAAAUUCAGUUGGUCGUUUUAUCAACAACACUUAGCCACUCACCACUCUGAACCUUAUGUGUGUCAUCAUUGUAAUGAACAAUUUAUUCUUAAGGCUCAAAUAAGGCAACAUGUUAUACAACACAUGCCCAAAUUUGUUUGCACAGAGUUGGGAUGUGGUAAAACAUUUGCCGAGUCUAGGUAUAUGCAUAAUCAUAUUCAAAUGUCUCAUAAAGAAAGAAGAUAUGUAUGCAGUGUUGUUGGAUGUGAUUGGGUGUUUACGUUCAAAAGUCGUUUAGAAAAACAUAUCAAAGUCCAUCAACGAAAUGGGAGAAUUGUUUCAAUGGCUAAAAGAUAUAAAAAAAAAGAAAAAACAUUUUUAAUGGCAAAUAAGUUGGCUGCAUUAGCUCUAAAAA